CAGACGGGUGAGUAACGCGUGGGAAUCUACCCAACCCUGCGGAAUAGCUCUGGGAAACUGGAAUUAAUACCGCAUACGCCCUACGGGGGAAAGAUUUAUCGGGGAUGGAUGAGCCCGCGUUGGAUUAGCUAGUUGGUGGGGUAAAGGCCUACCAAGGCGACGAUCCAUAGCUGGUCUGAGAGGAUGAGCAGCCACAUUGGGACUGAGACACGGCCCAAACUCCUACGGGAGGCAGCAGUGGGGAAUAUUGGACAAUGGGCGCAAGCCUGAUCCAGCCAUGCCGCGUGAGUGAUGAAGGCCUUAGGGUUGUAAAGCUCUUUCACCGGUGAAGAUAAUGACGGUAACCGGAGAAGAAGCCCCGGCUAACUUCGUGCCAGCAGCCGCGGUAAUACGAAGGGGGCUAGCGUUGUUCGGAAUUACUGGGCGUAAAGCGCACGUAGGCGGAUAUUUAAGUCAGGGGUGAAAUCCCAGAGCUCAACUCUGGAACUGCCUUUGAUACUGGGUAUCUUGAGUAUGGAA
rnacentral:rRNA from 1 species